rnacentral:rRNA from 1 species
UACGUAGGGUGCGAGCGUUGUCCGGAAUUAUUGGGCGUAAAGAGCUCGUAGGCGGUUUGUUGCGUCGGCCGUGAAAACUUGGGGCUUAACUCCAAGCUUGCGGUCGAUACGGGCAGACUUGAGUUCGGCAGGGGAGACUGGAAUUCCUGGUGUAGCGGUGAAAUGCGCAGAUAUCAGGAGGAACACCGGUGGCGAAGGCGGGUCUCUGGGCCGACACUGACGCUGAGGAGCGAAAGCGUGGGGAGCGAACAGG